GACGCGGGGCCCUGGAGCUGGCUGACCGGCUGCAGAAACAUGCAGGGCUGCAGGAGCUGAACGUGGCAUACAACAAUAUCGGGGACAACGCCGCCCUCGCUCUGGUGGACGCCUGCAGGGAACAUCCCAGCAUCCACACCUUGCAUUUGUACCUGAACCCUCUCAGCAAUGUGGGGAAGCAGUCCCUUUAUGUACGAGGCGUUCCAGAGAGUCAGGGGGGCAGCGGGCGGCGGGUCCGAGUCCUGGCCUCAGUCACCGAAGGUUCUGACCUGUCAGAGGACUGGCACCCGAUCCUCAGCGUGAUCCGAGAGAACGCGUCCUCCUGGGACCGAGAGCGGGUCGAACAGCAGCUCAAGGUAAAAUCAGGGAGAGGGGGGUGAAGGGGAUUUAUGAAGGAGAGAGGAUUGAAGUACGUCUACAAGCUGGUGAGGGUCACUGUCUCUGAAGGACUUGUCAACAUGUUCAAGGUUUUUAGCUGCAAACAAACAGGUUUGUGCUGCAAGACAAACAGAA